CGGGGUUACACAUAAGGGAGAGGUUACAUAAGGGCGGGGUUACACAUAAGGGGUUACAUAAGGGUGGGGUUACACAUAAGGGCGGGGUAACACAAGGGGUUACACAUAAGAGCGGGGUUUCACAUAAGGGUGAGGUUACACAUAAGGGAGGUUUACACAUAAGGGGUUACAUAAGGGCGGGGUUACAUAAGGGCUGGGUUACACAUAAGGGCGGGGUUACACAUAAGGGGUUACAUAAGGGCGGGGUUACACAAGGGCUGGGUUACACAUAAGGGGUUACAUAAGGACGGGGUUAUACAUAAGGGGUUACAUAAGGACGGGGUUACAGAUAAGGGAGAGGUUACAUAAGGGCGGGGUUACACAUAAGGGGUUACAUAAGGGUGGGGUUACACAUAAGGGCGGGGUUACACAUAAGUGGUACCCCCACAUAAGGGGUUACAUAAGGGCAGGGUUACACAAGGGGUUACAUAAGGGUGAGGUUACACAUAAGGGCUG
ensembl:lncRNA